rnacentral:rRNA from 1 species
CCUACGGGGGGCAGCAGUGGGGAAUAUUGCACAAUGGGGGAAACCCUGAUGCAGCGACGCCGCGUGAGUGAAGAAGUAUUUCGGUAUGUAAAGCCCUAUCAGCAGGAACGAGACAAGACGGUACUUGACUAAGAAGCCCCGGCUAACCACGUGCCAGCAGCCGCGGGAAUACGUAGGGGGCAAGCGUUAUCCGGAAGCCCUGGGUGUAAAGGGAGCGUAGACGGGUGAGCAAGCCUGAAGUGAAAGGCUUUGGCUGAACCACCGGACUGCUUUGGAAACUGUUCUGCUGGAGUGCAGGAGAGGUAAGUGGAAUUCCUGGUGUAGCGGUGAAAUGCGGAGAGAUUAGGAGGAACA